rnacentral:lncRNA from 1 species
CCGGAGGGGGUCGGGACCUGCCUCCACAUCCCCUCUCAGAGCACCUGCCUCCUCUCUCGGCGGCACCCCCGACCCCAGCCUCCUCACUCGCGCCCCCACACAGCCAGCAGCCCCGGGCCCGCCUGGGGGCAGGAAGUCGAGAACAUGGCUGACCAUUUCGUCCCAACUGGGCCAGCAGUCGUGACUGUGUGUUUCCACAGGGGCAGGUAACUCUAAGAUUUUUCACGUGGAUGUGGAACCCUGAAGGGUAGAGCUGGUCUGGCCCCCACGACCCUGGAUUAGAGAUGGCCGGCUCCCCCCAGGGGACUGCAGUUGGAGUCCUGGCAGGUUUGGUCAUCGUCCCCUCCUCCCAGCUGGGCAGGGACCUGCACUCAGGCACAGCCGGGCACUCCCUUUAGAGAGCUGCGGGUGAGAGCAAAGGUCGCUGCCGAGUGGGAAAGAGGAAAGAAAUAACCACCCUCGGCCCUUCUGGGGGAUUCUUCCCUUGGAAGUGAGGGUCGGAGCAGUGAUUUGAAGAGGUUUCAGCAGGGGAGGCCGAGUCCGUCUCUGGCAAGUGAAGGGCAAGAGAUGAGAAAUCUGAGCACCUGGUCCUGCUCUCGGAGCAGCACCACUUGUGCGCUGGUGACACUGCACAGGGUGCAUCAUGCCUUGAGCCUCAGGACUCCUAUCUGUAAAAAGGGCACAUGACCUGCCCUUGUUGUUGCGAUGGUCACAAAGAGGUAAGGCAGGAAAAAGGCUCUUUGCACACAAUGUGGUUCUUACACGUGCCAAGUAUUAGGAACGUACAAUAGAGGGGAGCAAACGGACCCAGAAUUCCAACCGGGGGUAGUAGCCUGCUGUGUCUUAGGAGGCGGGGCCAGCUUAUACUUUGCUUCAGGAAACUUCAAAGCAAGAAGGGGCCCUGGAGUUCCCUUGUGGCACAGUGGGUUAAGGAUCUGGUGCUGUCACCGAAGUGGCAAGGGUUUGAUCCCUGGCCCGGGGAACUUCCACCUGCCAUGGGCUCAACCAAAAAAAAAAAAAAGAAGGGACCCCAAAUUCAUUGGCUCCUUAUGAGGCUGCAUCCAGCACUGUGCAAAGCACUGGGGACACCGUGCAGAGUAGGACACAUGCGGGAUCUCCCCUGGGGGCUCCUGUCAGGUGAGAGACAGAUGUGAACCAAGUAAUUGCCUGAUAAUAACGUCUGAUAACAGUCAGGCGAGGACUAAGCAGAAAGGGAACAUUGCGCCUUGGGAAGCUUCGACAGAACGUGGAGUCCUCCCAGGAGAGGCAGGGGCUUGAGCAAAGGUCCUGGGGCAGCAGGAAAUAAAAGACAGCGGGGGGACUGACGGGCAGAGGGCAAGGACAGGAGAGGGCCCUGCCUUACAGGGAGGACAGACCAGACGCAGCCUAAGAAACCUUUUAAGGAUUUUAGUCAUUAUUUUAAGAACAAUAAGAAGUCACUGAAGAGAUGCAGCAGGGGUGGGGACGUGACAUAACCGUUUCCAAAAAGCCACCCUGCCCAAGGCACAGAUGACGACGAUGACGAUAAUGACGACGGUUUGCGUCCAUUUGGGGCGCUAAGCCACCUGCCUAAACAACAAGGGGCCCCCAGUUCAGCCUCCUUGUCCUGCACAUCCUCCCGAGUGGAACGGAACGUAGUUCAAGAGCCCAGGGGGUGAAGAGCACGGGCCAAGACCAGGACUGUCUGGUUUGAAGCCAGUUUUGUUCCUCCAGCUCCGUGACCUGAGGCUGGUUAGGCACUAGCUCUGGGGCUAGCAAUGUCUCCACACCCUAGUUUCCAAAUGUGUGAAAUGAGAGGGUGCUGAUAAUAGCCUCUGCUUCAGAUGCUCAGCUCAUAACAGCCCCAACUCAGAAGCGAGUGGCAGAGAUUAGCAGGUGUUCAGCCCUCUGUGAGACCAUUCAUAAAACACCGCCAUCACACAAAUAUCUUCUUCACCUGUUCAGUCCCCAAACUCCAAGUUCUUCAAGGCCCUAAAGUCCGCUUCAUGCAGCCACUGCAUCCCUGGCAAUGUCUGGGGCUGGCCCAGAGCGACAGGUCACAUACAGGGGCUGCCCACCACUUCUUGGAUGACCUCAGGCAAGUCUCUUUACUCCCCUGUAGAGGAGGAGGUUCAGUCCCCAGGAGAGGUUUCAAACUGUUCUUUGCAAAGGCUGCUGGGGGGUUGGGGUUGGGAGAGGGAGGGAGCCGGCAGGAUGCCAGCAGCCUCCCCCACCCCGACCCAGAGCCGCUGGGUUUGUAGGACAAAAGCUCAUGCUGAACUUUCACGUAAGCCUUCAGGUGAAGUUGCGAUGCAAAAAGAUAUUUCUGAAACUGCCUGGACUCAACCACCUUACUUUCCAUGACCUUCGGCCUGGAUGUCACCUCCGACCACGUUCCUGAUUCAUGGGCAGUUUGUAACUGGCUCUGCCAGUUCCCUGACUCGCAGAGCACGGCAAAAGGAAGAGCCCGGCUGCCUGAAUCCAGAGCCCGGCUUGCCCUUCCCAGCUCGUCCUCCAAAGUCUCAGCCGGAUGCGUUUCCUGGGACCCCCCCCACCGCUGCCCCCCACAACCCACCCAGAGAUAAGCAGGUCACAUCUCAAGCAGGAGUCACCCAGGGCAGGGCCACCUGGUCAUGACACCUCCAAGGCCCACCAGGAGUUUCGGGAUGACUGGCUCAUUUUUAUCCCUCAACUGUGUACCAAGCAAUUUUAUCGCGCGGUCCCGGUAUUUUCCGAAGCUUUGUUUGCUCCCCGCUCUACUGGCUGGGCCUUUCUGGUAGAUAAAGUCCAGGCAAGGGCGGGAGAGGACUCUUGUCCUUUCACAAAAGGGUGUGACACGGCACUGCCCCCACAAACACACACGCACGCACACACCAUACACACACACACCUGCACCCCUCCCGCCACACACGUCCCCCCAGGACGCACCCCUCACACAUCCCUCAUGAACCCACCCCCCCACACACACACACCUCUCCCACGGUCCCCGCACACCCACACCCAACACACACACAGUCUAUCCCAGGUUCACUCUCCCCACACCCCACACAAACCCACAAUCCUCUCACCUACACCUUCCACACACCUCGAGAGCCCCCGCCCCCGACGUCCUCCCCCACUGCACACGUGUUCACACACACACCCCAACACACACCUAAAGACCUCACACUCACAUGGCCUCCACCCUCCAUCCACCCUGUUCUCACACACACGCCCUCACACCUACCAGGCACGUACGAGAAACACACACCCAGAGAAGCGAACACACCCACUCCUGCUCCCGCGACCAGAGCCAAAGGCAUGGAAGGUGCACAGGCCUGAGCCCGGGAAAGGUAACUUUUCCAACACGCAGCCCCUCCCCUCUAUCACGCAGGGGCCGUGGGGCGCCAGGUCGGCUCAGCGCACCUGCUGGAGCAGCAGUGGGGGGAGCAAGGGUUUCUCUAUACCUGGAGAAUUUUCCAUCCAGAGGCAGAGCACAGAAGUGCACGGAAGAUGCGAGAUGCUUUCCGUGAGAGAAGUGCGGUCCAGCCCGGGGCUCUGAAGGCCCCGACGAGGAAGAGGUCCUCCCGGCUGGCAAGGCAGGGCUGGUGUGUGGCUUGAUGUCUGGCCUGGGUCCUGAGCAACAGGUGAGAACCAGACAGGCAGAGCCGGCACUGGGGAAGUGCCAGAGGGAAGGACCGCAGAAAGGGAAGGAUGAAAGAGUGGCCCUGAAAGGGGGAGCCGACGCCUGAGACUGGGCUGGGGGCGCCCGGCGGCUGAACUUGGAGGAGGGGGGAAGCCAGGUGAGGACUCCCCCACUUGGGAAGCAAGGAGGGCCUUCGGCGGCUUUGGGGACUGGAACACCACACGGCUGGGCUCUGCUCGAGGAAUAGGAACCUGGUGUCACGCGCAGGGUGGGCUGGGGAGAAGAGGCACAGAGACAGGGGACCAUUUACGUGCAGGUGGUAGGACUGAAAUGAUGGCCACAGGGAGGAGGCAGAGGGACAGAGACAGCGUGGCAGAUGACAGAUGGGCCGGCAAACGUCCCCGGCUCCCUCCGCGGUGGGGGGUGUCAAAGGCUCCGGAAAACACUGCCGCAUAGAAAGAAGCGGUCAGGAGGCAAGGAUGGGCUUAAAACGAGGCAUCUUUGUACGUGCAGAGGGAGGGUGCCAACAGUACCAAGGAGCAGAACUACCCAACUGGCGGUGAGUGUGCAGGCUUUAAACUCAGAAGGGGCAUCAGACAUGGAGAUGGAGGAGCUGGGGCCAGGACCGAGGACGGGAUUGUAGAGGCCGGGAAGGUGGAGGGAAGACGGAGAAAAUGGGAGGAAGAGGAAGGACGGGAAAACCCCUGGAAGAAGGCGCCCGCAUCACCCUAGCAUCGCUGUGAGGAGAGCGUUAUUAUUAUUGCAAUUCCCCUUUCCUACUGUCCAGCACAGGCAGCUCGACUCGAUACUGUGUAAUAACCCACAUGGAAAAGAAUCUGGAAAAGAAUAGCUGUGUGUAUAACUGAAUCACUUUGCUGUAUACCUGAAACUAACACAACACUGUAAAACAACUACACUCCAAUAUAAAAUAAAAAUCAGCUAAAAAAUAAAUUAAAUAAAUAAAAUGCCAAAAAAUGUCCCCUUUUCAGACAAGGAUGUUGAGGAGCAGAGAGGCUCAGUGGCUGGCCUAGCCUAACGGAACCAGUGAGUGAUGGAGCCGGAAGGGGAAACCGGGGUACCUGCCCUAUCCUUCAGACCCUUCCCACUAAACCAGGGGCUGGCAGACUACGGCCCAUGGGCCAAACCUGGCCCCUCUCUUCUUUUUAUAAAUCAAGUUUGUUUUUGGCCACACCCACAGGACACAGAAGUUCCAGGGCCAGGGAUGGAACCCACACCACAGCAGUGACAACGCCGGAUCCCUAACCCACUGAGCCACCAGGGAACUCCUACAAAUCAAGUUUUAGGGUGGGCCGGAGCCAGAUGGCCCAGCUGGUCUGAAGGGUGACUUCUUCAGAGGAGGGGUUGCAGAAAAUGGAGCAGGUCGGCAGGUGGAGGAAAGGAAGCCAGCAGAGGGGAAAAGAGGAAGCGGAGGUUACAAAUGGAGGAGCCUGUCUGGCUGUGCCCAGGACGGAGGUGGGCGGGAGUCCAGAGCCCAGAGAGAUUAGCUUUGCCCACGAGGGCCGGGGUGGGGGAUAGAGAUUUGAUGAGAGUCUCAGUAUUUAUAGGGCCAAUCACCUAUUUUUAUGAACUUAUUAUAUGCUUACAACUCUGUGCGUUAGGGGUUCAGAUCCCCAUUUUACAGGUGAGAAAACUGAGUCUCAGGGUAGUUUCGGGACUAGCCCACUGUACCUGUGCUCUCUCAGAGCAGCACCAGAAUUCAGACCUGAGUCCAAUGGACUCCAAGAACCAUGCCUGUUUCACCCCAUCCAGGCUUGAGCUGAUGUAUUCGAAUCUUGAGCUGAUCCAUUUCUUCUUCAUUUGUUCAGCCAGGUCCUUCUGCUGGAGAAGCAUCAAAGCAGACCGAUGCCCUGUCUUUGCAGCACUUCCCGUAGACCCAGGAGGAACCAGAGGCCAUAAGACACAGGCUCCCAAAGCCCCACUAGGAUGCCCAGGAAUGGCCACAAGCGCCAGGCGUCUUGCACGCUCCGUCAAAAGACUGGCACUCCAGAUCUGGGCCCCUGACACCACUGCUGGCACCCCAGCUGUUUGGGAGGGUCUGGGAAGCCCCGAACUUUCACGCAGUGGGGCUUUUAUGGCAACAGCUCUACUGUGGGCUUGGACACCGAACGAACGAGAAGUCCCGGCCUCCACUGUUCCUCUUGUCAAUUUUCCUCACGGAACUACUGAGGCCAAGUACAAAAGUCCAAGGGGGCCUCCUGUGAGCAGGUAUCACUCAGAAUCGCAGCCCCUUCUACCCCUCGGCUCUGGAUGGACCGUGAGCCCCGGAGCCGUGGGAGCUGCACGCAUCCGCACCCCUCAUCCAUCUCUCGGUACCGGCCCGACGGCACGCAGCGGCGCAUUUCAACAUGCUGGCUCCAGAGGCCAAGUGCAGAGCCAUGGCUGAGCGCGGGAGGCCCCUCCUCGGUGCUGGACACUGGGCACCACCUGUGCUGCCCGCCCCGUGAUAGCCAGGCCACGUGGGGGCUCACACCGAGCUUUAAGUCACAUGAAACCCUCCGGGCAGGUUUCGGACCAGCAAGCUCGAUUCUGCCACGCUGUCCCUGUGUCACUCACCCAUUUCUUGAUCCUGAGAGCAGGACUCUAUUGUUGUCUUAAUUCAAUUGCCUCUAGUCAAAUGCAACCCAAAUACAGCAACUAGGAGGGUCCACCUUCACGGUUCAUCAGACGGGCUCAUGCCAGUCACCUGUGCUUGAGCUGCCCCUCGAAUUUAUAUUUCUCUGCCCUAAUUUUAUACUGUUUAUUUAUGUCUCACCAUAAAUGGGGAUGUGUUCCUUAGAAGCUGCCUUAGAUCUUUUAUGGUUUGACGUAGCUACCUAAAUUAAAAAGUCAAUGGGCCUUUUGUUUUAACAU